rnacentral:tmRNA from 1 species
GGGGAUGACUGGUUUCGACAUAUAACGAUUGUAGUAAUUGCGAAUCGUGCUGCCGCACGUAAAAUAGGCAAACUUAAAUUUUAAUUGGCGAAUUUGAAUACGCACUAGCGGCUUAGCCGUUGGAUUAUUUAAUCUUACUCUUGGGUUUUAUAAUCUUUUUCGAGUAAAGAGUUGCAUUUUAUAUUAUUUUGUAGAAUAUAAAACUAAGAUUUAUACAAAUAGAUUUUGUGUAGUUUGUUUGUAGAAUAUACAAAAUUGAAUUUGAAAUACAAACUAUAUUCGUAGACGUUAUGAGAAUUGUUAUUUGGACCGGAGUUCGAUUCUCCGCAUCUCCACCA